AAUCAACGCUGGCGGCGUGCCUAACACAUGCAAGUCGAACGAGAAAGUGGAGCAAUCCAUGAGUAAAGUGGCGACCGGGUGAGUAACACGUGACUAACCUACCUUCAAGUGGGGGAUAACCUCGGGAAACCGGGGCGUAAUACCGCAUAAUAUCUUUGGGGCGGAAGAACCGAAGAUCAAAGGAGCAAUUCGCUGGAAGAGGGGGUCGGCGGCUGAUUAGUUAGUUGGCGGGGUAAUGGCCCACCAAGACAGAGAUCGGUAGCCGGCC
rnacentral:rRNA from 1 species